UACGUAGGGGGCAAGCGUUGUCCGGAGUUACUGGGCGUAAAGGGCGCGCAGGCGGCGGUGCUGGCCCGGCGUGAAAGCCCCCGGCUCAACCGGGGAGGGUCGUCGGGGACCGCACCGCUUGAGGGCGGUAGGGGCUGGUGGAAUGCCUGGUGUAGUGGUGAAAUGCGUAGAGAUCAGGCGGAACACCCGUGGCGAAGGCGGCCAGCUGGGCCGACCCUGACGCUGAGGCGCGAAGGCGUGGGGAGCGAACGGG
rnacentral:rRNA from 1 species